UCCACCUGGAAGAAUAGCCAAAGGAAAAUCGGUAUUUGUUAUUUUCUAUAUUUUCGUCUAUGCAACUUACAACCCAAUUGGAGGAAAUAGCAUCUUUAGGUCAUUCAUCCCGGCCAAUUCCAUUCAAUUAUAACUGUCAUCAAUUUCGUUGUCAUUAAAAAGAAGUUUUCGAGGCGCCUAAUCGUAACGCUAGAAUAGACGUCAAUCAAAACGCAACAAGGGUAUACUAAGGAUGCACUCUACAAAAACAUUACCGUCUCUUUAUGUUCUUAUUAUGGCAUGCUUACUUGGCACAGUGACACAGACCAUUUGUAACUUGGCAUUGUGCCAAAUAUCGCAAAGCAUGAAAGCGACAACAAAAACAAUACUCAAAAAAAAAAAAAAAAAAACACCUGUAGUGAAUGAAUAUCAUGUAAGAAAUUAAUGCAAUUUACAGAGCUGGCUAAUUGUAAACGUCAAGUGACUAAGCCUUAAAUACAAUAACAAACAUAGAAAGAGACUGAAAAUGACUAAAUAAAUGUGUUAAGUAGUCAAAGGCCAUAAACAAAUCUGGUGCGCAUUUUCAUUACUUUUCAUACGCAACGUUGACACCGACGCUGACGCAAUGCCACGACCUACCCCCAAAGGCGUCCCCUUAGCAAACAGUGUGUGGACCGACAGGCAACUGACGGCUUCCGUUGACCCUGGUCAAUAAACUAGUGAGGCAAAUGGGUAGCUGCAAGUAAAUAUCAUAAACGCGAAUAUGUGUCAAUAAAGUGUACGAGAGGCGCAUCGAAUGAAAAACACGAGACACUCUAUAAAAACCAAACAAGACAAAUAGAAAGCAAAAAAAUCCAUGAAAAAAAAAAAUUUAACGGUUUCUCUGUGGCGGUAGUUAAUAGAAGAUAGAAUUUAUAUGGUCUAUCGGCGAAGGUAGUCAAGACUCUUGUCACAAAAGUAAAGCAUCGGCAUGCCAAUAGGCCUUGCAAAAUAAUUGCUAUGAGUAAAACAAAUUUUUCGAUAUAUUAAAUAAUAAAUUCUCAUAAUAAAUUCAUAAAUACGGCAAAAUCUGUAUAUUUUAAUUGGAUAUUUAGUACACAAAAACCAAUAUACUCUAUUCGACAUGACGAAAGAGUAUAACAACACAAUGCCUGCUCAUAAGAGAUACUCAAACGAAGGCAGCUCGCAGUAGUUUUGAUAUAGAUCCUUUAUCUAUUGUCUGCCCUGAUUAAUGACGCAUAAUAAACUUGUCUUGUUUAGUUCUAAUGGAUGUGUUUUUUGGCCAAAAAGGGGAGCCAUUAAAGGGGUGGAACAAAGCAUCAACUAACAAAUGAAUAAUGUCCAGCAAAAGCAAACAGAAUGUAAAUGGCGUUUUAGGACAAAGCAAAUGAUAAACAAGCGACAAUGUUAUAAGAAAAUAUUUGAAUUCAGUAAUAGAAACUGUUGGAAAAUCUUUAGUUAUUAUAUCAGAUGAAUGUAUAUAUGCUUGAAAUGUUAUUACAUCGCAUUAGAAAUUUAUAGCAAGUUGAUAGAAUUUGCAAUGAUAAUAAAAUUUAAAUGACCCUUUACUUUCGCUUAGACUUUUUUUUUUUUUUUUAAUUUCACAAUAUAAAUACUUAAUGUAUAUGUAGAUUUCCUUGUUGUAAUGGUCAUUUGCUAGUUAAACCUCUGAAAGCCCAGCCCUUUGUACUCAGUGUUCGAUAAAGCUGUACGGAUUAUUUAACUUGAACCGCGGAAAUUGCGAAACAGAAAAUAUAUUUAUAUAUAUUCAUUUAUCAAUAUAUAUAUUAUUGAUAGCAAAAGUUGAGCGUACUAAAUAUUUUGUUGACAUUAUGUGAAUUAAAUGUGGGGAAGUGUAUGAACUUUAGAUUCUGCAGCUUUGUUUACAUUUC